rnacentral:rRNA from 1 species
GUCUCCUGAAGGAACGUUGAAGACGACGACGUUGAUAGGCCGGGUGUGUAAGCGCAGCGAUGCGUUGAGUUAACCGGUACUAAUGAACCGUGAGGCUUAACCUUACAACGCCGAAG